GAUGAACGCUGGCGGCGCAUUUAAGACAUGCAAGUCGAACGAAAAUUUACGCUUAAAGAGUUGAUUAGUUUACUAAGAGACAAUUUAUUGUAAAUUUUAGUGGCGGACUGGUGAGUAAUACAUAGGUAAUCUGCCUUUUAGAGGGGAAUAACUAGGAGAAAUCCUAGCUAAUACCGCGUAAGACCACACUUAGGCAUCUAAGAGAGGUCAAAGGAGAAAUCCGCUAAAAGAUGAGCCUGUGGCUGAUUAGUUAGUUGGUGGGGUAAGAGCCUACCAAGACGAUGAUCAGUAGCCGAGCUGAGAGGCUGGCCGGCCACAUUGGGGACUGAGAUACGGCCCAGACUCCUACGGGAGGCAGCAGUUGGGAAUAUUGGACAAUGGAGGGAACUCUGAUCCAGUGACGCCGCGUGAAGGAAGAAGGUCUUCGGAUUGUAAACUUAUUUUAUCAGGGAAGAAGAAAGUGACAGUACCUGAAGAAAAAGGACCGGCAAACUACGUG
rnacentral:rRNA from 1 species